rnacentral:rRNA from 1 species
GGUUUAUUGAAUAAUAAUUUUAGAUCAAUCUGCUCAAUGAAAAUUAAAUAGCUGCAGUAAUAAUGACUGUACAAAGGUAGCAUAAUCAAUUGUUUUUUAAAUGAAAACUUGAAUGAAAGAAUUGAUGAAAUAUAUACUGUCUCAUAUAUAUAAAUUGAAAUUAAAUUUUUAGUAAAAAUGCUAAAAUUUUAUUAUGGGACGAUAAGACCCUAUAGAAUUUUAUAUUUAAUUAAAUAAAUAUAAAUUUUAUUUAUUUAAUAAAUAUUUAGUUGGGAGGAUUAUUAAAUUAAAUUAACUUUAAUAAAAUUUAAUCUUAAAUUAAAGUAAAAUAUAUUAAUUGAAUAAAUUUUAUUGAUUAAUAGAUUAAAUUACCUUAGGGAUAACAGCGUAAUAUCCUUUGAAAGAUCAAAUUGAUAAGGAUGAUUGCGACCUCGAUGUUGAAUUAAGAUAAAAUUUAAAUGUAGAUGUUUAAAAUUUUAAGUCUGUUCGACUUUUAAAAUCUC